GUCGGACCUCGAACUCAUGUAGGAAUACCCGCUGAACUUAAGCAUAUCA
rnacentral:rRNA from 1 species